GUCUAAGGCCAUACCACCCUGUUCGAGUCCUAUCUCAUCCGAUCUCGGAAGCUAAGCAGGGUUGGACCUGCUUAGUACAUGUGUGGGAGAAGACAGAUUUUCUUCUCUU
rnacentral:rRNA from 1 species